GAGGCAGGAAAUCUACAAACUUUUAUUGAUUGGGAGAAAUUAGACAGGAAGGUACAUUAAACUGGUUAAUUCUUUCCCGUCCUUGAUGUUCAAUGUCUAACGAAGGAAAUUAUUCAUGAAGCGAGAUAAGAAGUAGUUAUGAAUUAAAACCAUGCGUGUGCGAUUUUAUUCCUGUGGAAGAAGUAUUAUAUGUAGAGACGAAUAGAAUGUCAGAGACGCAUGCGAUGAAUAAAUAUUAAAUCAUAUACUGCAAAAAUCAAAUAGUUUUGCCUUUCUAGAAAAAUAAUUUAUAAUCUACUUGUCAUAUUAUACACUUCAACGCUAUUUAUAUAAAUUUAUAAUCUUCACAACCUACAAUUUCUUAUAAUACAAUAAAGUACAAAAUAUGUGC